UUUUUUACUCCCUCCACCUUCACUUCAUCACUCUUAUUUUUUUUAACUUCCACACUUUCUUUAUUUUCUACUUCACCAUUUUUUUCAUUUUUUUCAACUUUUUCCUCACUCCACUCCCCAAACUUCAACAUCAAUGCUAUCCUCUAUUUUUUUUCUCCUCAUCUUUUUUCUCAUCCUCUCUUUUUUCACUCUCAUCUCUUUUUUC
rnacentral:lncRNA from 1 species